UUUACCUGUUUGUCUCUUUCAUAUUUUUUUGCUGAAGUCUAGUUCCAGAAGAGCAGUUAGGACUGAAAUCUCUCUAUUUAGCAGUACUUUACUGAAACAGUUCAGCAACACUCAGGAUCCACAUUUAUGGAUUUGUUCAGUAGGAAAUAUGCUCGUCUACUGAUUAUUGGAAUCGGGCUAAUGGCUCUCGUGCAGUUAGGAGGGAACAAUGCAAUAACUUCUUUUGCCAGUUCAAUUUCUAAAGCAGCUGGUUGUUCGGCAGACUCAGCAUCUCAAGUCAUGGCUGUUCUCCAGCUUCCAUUUGCAGUCGCGAGUAUUAUCCUUACAGAAAAAGAUGGAUGACGACUUCUUAUGCUGGCACCAUGUACAUCCAAGAUUGUUAGAAGAACAUUCCUACUUUGCAACAGUAAUGCAGUUUCCUCAGGGACUGCUGUUCUGCCAGCAUCCUCCUAUGUCAGACCAAGCAGCAAACCUAGUUCUAUUCAACGAAGUGAUGCAAUUGUGCCUAAGAUCACUGUCAUUCCUCUUC